UUUUUAGCAUAAAUAUAUCCCAUGAAAUAUUUUGGGACAUACUUAUACUAAAU
rnacentral:pre_miRNA from 1 species